GACGAACGCUGGCGGCGUGCUUAACACAUGCAAGUCGAACGGAAAGGCCUCUUUGGGGGGGUACUCGGGAGGCGAACGGGUGAGUAAUUCGUGAGUAAAUAGCCCUUCACUAUGGGGUAACAUCAGUAAACUGGGGGUAAUACCGAAGAGGAGCCCCUGCGGCAAGGGGGGGGUUGGAAAGUUUCGGCGGAUGGGGAUGGACUCGCGGCUUAUCAGCAUGAUGGUGGGGUCGUGGAUUACCAAGGCUUAGGCGGGUAGGCGGCCUGUGAGGGGGAGCGGCCACGUUGGGACUGAGAUGCGGCCCAGACUCCUCCGGGAGGGAGGAGUGGGGAAGAGUGCACAAUGGGUGGAGGGCUGAUGCGGCGACGCCGUGUGCGGGAUGAGGGGCUUCGGGUUGUGACCCGAUUUCGCUCAUGACGAAGCUAUGUGUGACGGUAGUUUAUAAAGAAGCACCGGCUAACUACGUG
rnacentral:rRNA from 1 species